GAUGAACGCUGGCGGCGUGCCUAAUACAUGCAAGUCGAGCGAACAGACGAGGAGCUUGCUCCUCUGACGUUAGCGGCGGACGGGUGAGUAACACGUGGAUAACCUACCUAUAAGACUGGGAUAACUUCGGGAAACCGCAGCUAAUACCGGAUAAUAUAUUGAACCGCAUGGUUCAAUAGUGAAAGACGGUUUUCCUGUCACUUAUAGAUGGAUCCGCGCCGCAUUAGCUAGUUGGUAAGGUAACGGCUUACCAAGGCAACGAUGCGUAGCCGACCUGAGAGGGUGAUCGGCCACACUGGAACUGAGACACGGUCCAGACUCCUACGGGAGGCAGCAGUAGGGAAUCUUCCGCAAUGGGCGAAAGCCUGACGGAGCAACGCCGCGUGAGUGAUGAAGGUCUUCGGAUCGUAAAACUCUUUUAUUAGGGAAGAACAAAUGUGUAAGUAACUAUGCACGUCUUGACGGUACCUAAUCAGAAAGCCACGGCUAACUACGUG
rnacentral:rRNA from 1 species